UCUGAGGUACUUGUGUUUUAGGCACUAAA
rnacentral:sRNA from 1 species